UACGUGAGGGGCGAGCGUUACUCGGAAUUACUGGGCGUAAAGGGCGUGCAGGCGGUCUUUCAAGUCUAAUGUAAAAACCCACGGCUUAACUGUGGAUCUGCAUUGGAAACUGUAAGACUUGAGUCUGGUGGAGGGUAAUGGAAUUCCCGGUGUAGCGGUGAAAUGCGUAGAUAUCGGGAAGAACACCGAAGGCUAAAGCAGUUACCUAUGCCAAGACUGACGCUGAGGCGCGAAAGCAUGGGUAUCAAACAGG
rnacentral:rRNA from 1 species